GUGAGUCAUCGAAUCUUUGAACGCACAUUGCGCCCGCCAGUAUUCUGGCGGGCAUGCCUGUUCGAGCGUCAUUUCAACCAUCAAGCCCCCGGCUUGUGUUGGGGACCUGCGGCUGCCGCAGGCCCUGAAAACCAGUGGCGGGCUCGCUAGUCACUCCGAGCGUAGUAGUUACAUCUCGCUCAGGGCGUGCUGCGGGUUCCGGCCGUUAAAAGCCUUAUUUACCCAAGGUUGACCUCGGAUCAGGUAGGAAGACCCGCUGAACUUAAGCAUAUCAAUAAGCGGAGGA
rnacentral:misc_RNA from 1 species